CUGGCGUCUGCAGCUUUCCUGAGCACCAGCUGCCCGAGCUAAACACGCCCGCUUUCCACGUGGGCGCCUUUGCGGAGCUGUGGCGUGGCCGGCUGCGCGAGCCGGGGAUGUGUCGCCGAGGGAGCCGCCGGCACCCGCGCUGCCCGGGUCGCGGACUGGGACCAGGAGGAUGUCGCGGUGGCCCGGGAUGUGGGCUGCCCGCUGCCCGCUGCCCGCUGCAGGCGGCGGCCGAGCUGAGGGCGGUGUGCGGGUGAGUCGGGGCCGAGGGGCUCUCGCAGUUUGGGGCCACCCGGGGUGCCGUCUUGCUCCUGAUGUUCUUUGGGAUUCGGCCCUGGGGGCCUGGGGUAGGAGGAUCGCGCUUUCGAAGCUUUCAACCGGCUGGCGCCUUCCUGGAACACCGGGAGGAGUCCCAGGACCCCAUGCACAGUUUCUGCGAGUUGGAGUGAAGGAACAGGACAGCUUCAUCAAAGGAUAGUUUUUCUGUUUUCGAAUUUUGCAGGUGUGUGUUAAUGAAGAAAAGCAAUGGAAUCUGGCAGAAAGAAACUUAACCAAGGUUAGAAAGAAGUUCUUGUAACAUUGGGAAGAAACCAUUGUGAUAGAUCCUGUCUGUAGACAAGAAACAUUUGAUUAUGAGAUGGAGUCACUUGCCACAGGAAAAACCUGCAAAUCCAGCAGACGUGAUUGAAGAAGGGGAGCUUAUCCUGUCUGUGGAUAUCUUGUGCCC